ACAAUUAGUGUUAGCAGUAGCACUAAAACAAUUUGUAAAAUCAAAUUUCAAGAAAAUAAGUUACAAGAAAACAUUCAUAAUAUAUGUAUAUGCUCCCUUUAUAAAUUCUAAAAAUUAUAUUUAAUAUAUUGUAUUAGUAUGAUGUAAAUAAUUAAAUUAUGUUUAUAAAUAAUAUACUAUUUAAACAUUGAUUUAAAUUUUUCAUGUUCGGAUAUUGAAUUUAACCAAAUAUCGAUGAUGAAAUAAGUAAAUAGAUAAUAAUAGAUUAGAUGAUAAGUACAAUAAAUUAUUGAUAAAUGGGAGGUAUAAUUAAAUUUAAACUCAUCACGGGUAUAAAAUAGAUAAAAGUAAAAAAUUUUCUUUACGAAACGGGUGUGAGGUGUGCAUACCCGACAUAUAUUUACUCUAUGUUUCGAAAGAGAGAGAGAGAUAAAGAGUAUAUAUGAAUCGAAAGAUAUAUUUUUUGUUAUUUUUAUUUUUAUUAUAUCAAACUGAGAUUUAAAAUAUGAUAUUUUUCUACUAUAAAUAAAUAGGAAAAAAAUAUAUUAUAUUAUUUUAUUUUUCUUUCCUUUAUUUGUCUCAAAUAGACAUAAUAAGUAAUUAACAACUGAGAUUUUCACCAGGAGCAACACCAAAUUUAGCACAAUAAUCUCUAUAAUAACCAAUACGAGCCUGAANNNNN
rnacentral:lncRNA from 1 species